AGGAUUGACAGAUUGACAGCUCUUUCUUGAUUCCAAGGGAGGUGUGCAUGGCCGUCCAGCUUUGUUGUGAAAUCUCUGUUUGAUUACGGUAAACGGCGAGACCUUGACUUGCUGAUUGGUGUAGGGAAGCGUGCGCUUUCUUGGUGGGGCUGUGCGAAAGCACUCCUCACAUCACACCACUCAGAGGGACACUCGGCGUUGCUAUUGAGCGUAAGCCGAAGGAAGUUUGAGGCGAUAACAGGUCUGUGAUGCCCUUAGAUGUUCUGGGCUGCACGCGCGCUACACUGACGGGGGCAGCGAGUAUGCUUUGGGUGUUUGUGGUGGGGAAAGUCUUGUGCUUUCUGCAUUCAUAAACAUCUAUUCCUGCGCUGGAAGGCGUGGGGACUCUUGUGAAAACCCGUCGUGCUGGGGAUAGAUGCUUGCAAUUAUUCAUCUUGAACGAGGAAUUCCUAGUAAGCGCAAUUCAACAGAUUGCGUUGAUUACGUCCCUGCCCUUUGUACACACCGCCCGUCGCUACUACCGAUUGAAUGGUUUAGUGAGGCCUCGGGAUUGGCGCGUGGGCGCUGGCAACAGCUGCCCAUGUGUUUCUUUGCUGAGAACCUGGUCAAACUUGAUCAUUUAGAGGAAGUAAAAGUCGUAACAAGGUUUCCGUAGGUGAACCUGCGGAAGGAUCAUUC